CCAAUAGCGUAUAUUAAAGUUGUUGCAGUUAAAAAGCUCGUAGUUGAAUUUCGGGAUCAAUAUGUUGGUCGUGCCUUGGUACGUACUAGUUUAUUGAUUUCUUCCUUCUGACGAAUCAUGAUGUCAUUAAUUUGGUGUCAUGGGGAAUCAGGACUGUUACUUUGAAAAAAUUAGAGUGUUUAAAGCAGGCUCACGCUUGAAUACAUUAGCAUGGAAUAAUGAAAUAGGACGUUUGAUUCUAUUUUGUUGGUUUCUAGGAUCGACGUAAUGAUUAAUAGGGAUAGUUGGGGGCAUUAGUAUUCAAUUGUCAGAGGUGAAAUUCUUGGAUUUAUUGAAGACUAACUACUGCGAAAGCAUUUGCCAAGGAUGUUUUCAUUAAUCAAGAACGAAAGUUAGGGGAUCGAAGACGAUCAGAUACCGUCGUAGUCUUAACCAUAAACUAUGCCGACUAGGGAUCGGAUGAUGUUAAUUUUUUAAUGACUCAUUCGGUGCCUUACG
rnacentral:rRNA from 1 species